rnacentral:rRNA from 1 species
AUUGAACGCUGGCGGCAUGCCUUACACAUGCAAGUCGAACGGUAACAGGUCUUCGGAUGCUGACGAGUGGCGAACGGGUGAGUAAUACAUCGGAACGUGCCCGAUCGUGGGGGAUAACGCAGCGAAAGCUGUGCUAAUACCGCAUACGAUCUACGGAUGAAAGCGGGGGAUCGCAAGACCUCGCGCGGACGGAGCGGCCGAUGGCAGAUUAGGUAGUUGGUGGGAUAAAAGCUUACCAAGCCGACGAUCUGUAGCUGGUCUGAGAGGACGACCAGCCACACUGGGACUGAGACACGGCCCAGACUCCUACGGGAGGCAGCAGUGGGGAAUUUUGGACAAUGGGGGAAACCCUGAUCCAGCCAUGCCGCGUGCAGGAUGAAGGCCUUCGGGUUGUAAACUGCUUUUGUACGGAACGAAACGGUGAGCUCUAAUAAAGCUUGCUAAGUGACGGUACCGUAAGAACUAAGCACCGGCUAACUACGUG